rnacentral:rRNA from 1 species
AUUGAACGCUGGCGGCAUGCCUUACACAUGCAAGUCGAACGGCAGCACGGGAGCUUGCUCCUGGUGGCGAGUGGCGAACGGGUGAGUAAUACAUCGGAACGUACCCUGAAGUGGGGGAUAACGUAGCGAAAGUUACGCUAAUACCGCAUAUUCUGUGAGCAGGAAAGAGGGGGAUCGCAAGACCUCUUGCUUUAGGAGCGGCCGAUGUCGGAUUAGCUAGUUGGUGAGGUAAAGGCUCACCAAGGCGACGAUCCGUAGCGGGUCUGAGAGGAUGAUCCGCCACACUGGGACUUGAGACACGGCCCAGACUCCUACGGGAGGCAGCAGUGGGAAUUUUGGACAAUGGGCGCAAGCCUGAUCCAGCCAUGCCGCGUGAGUGAAGAAGGCC